AUUGAACGCUGGCGGCAGGCCUAACACAUGCAAGUCGAACGGAGUGGCGGAAGGGUGAGUAAUGUCUGGGAAACUGACUGAUGGAGGGGGAUAACCACUGGAAACGGUAGCUAAUACCGCAUACUAUCAGAAGAGCCUAGGUCGGAUUAGCGAGUUGGUGGGGUAAAGGCCUACCAAGGCGACGAUCUGUAACUGGUCUGAGAGGAUGAUCAGCCACACUGGAACUGAGACACGGUCCAGACUCCUACGGUAGGCAGCAGUGGGGAAUAUUGGACAAUGGGCGAAAGCCUGAUCCAGCCAUGCCGCGUGUGUGAAGAAGGUCUUCGGGUUGUAAAGCACUUUAAGUUGGGAGGCGUUACCAACAGAAUAAGCACCGACUAACUUCGUGCCAGCAGCCGCGGUAAUAC
rnacentral:rRNA from 1 species